CCUCAGCUGCUUGGCCUGGCCUAACCGUGUUUGUUCGUGUUGCGCCCGAGAGAAACAAUUCUUUGUCACUUACCCUUUGGUCUUUCCAAGAUUUUUUGUCGAUCCGUCGGCGCCCGAAGCUGGAAAGCUCGAGGACCCGAUGUGCCGAAGCGCGAAGGAAUUACAAUAGUCUCUAGAAGGUGGUCGUGGAUAUGAAAUGUUAUAAAAUAAAUAUCAGAACGAGGGAAGAGGUACAUUUGAUCAGUGGAUCACCACGAAAGAAAUACAAAAAAGAAUGAUAAAAACAUAAUGCAUCACACUGUCAUGCAUGACUAGUUAUCAUUGUGUGUUCAUAUCAAGUUACUUUGAAUGAUUUUACAUGUUCAGAGAAGCUGACAAUUGCAAGAUCAUCAUAGUUCAUCAUUGCAUAUAUCGCUUUACAUACAUAUAUAAAUAAAUAUAUAUAUAUAUAAAAAUACAAAUAUAUAUUUACCGAGCAAGAUUUUUAAAUAUAAUUCUAUGUAUACAAGCGAAUAGCCUUAAAGAAAAGUUACUGUAAGUUUUUGAUAAUUGUGGUGCCGUUUGAUAUAAUCAAGAAGAGAAAUCAAAUUAGUUCCAAGAGAGGAAAUAGUAACUACAUAGUUUUCUCUAUAUUUGGUAAAAAUCAGCUUUUCUAAAUGAUGCUCAAACAGUUACAAAUACUCUUAUAUACCAUACAUAGAGUAUUAAAUGAGAGUCUGUUCUGACAAGAUUGGUGGCACUACUAAAGUGAAAUAAAAAUGUUUUAAGCCCUCAAAGAUAAUGCACAACAGUCAGGAGAGAUUAUGUUCUGUGAUUUCAGUGUUGUGCAAAGUUAUUCGUGUUUACAUACCAUGUAUGACUGACAAAUGAGUUAACAGUAAUAUAUUUUUCCAUGGAGAAAGUAACAUGUUAAUGUAACCGUUUCAUCGAGAAUUUUGGGUAACACUCCAAUUUGGAGACAAUAGAUACGGUGCUCAUAGUUGCAUAAACAGCAGUAGAACUGAGAUUAACACUUUGUACCGAUACUAAAGGUACAUUUGAGGAAGUCCUAAUGCUGAAAGGAAACUUAUCAUCGUACUUAGACCCUCAUAAUGAAGAAGAGUCGUCUUAUGUAACUCUCAGCAAUGGACCAUACGUAUAUGUAACUGAUUCAGCCAACACGGAACCCAAGAGUGAUCAUGAUCUUGUAGAUGUAUAUUUUUUAACCCCUAUUCUUUGUAAACAUUGUGAAGAUUAUGUUUGGGGCACCGGGAAAGUGGGGGUCAAAUGCAAAGGUGAGUCAUUUACAAACAACUACCAAUAAUUGAAUAUUUUAAAGAAACUUACGCGAUCAUUGUUCGUGUCGUGCGUAGAUCCAUGAUGUUCACAGCAGCCAUUGAAC